GACGAGCCAGCUGAGGCGUAGGAGCCCGAUGAGCCGACUGAGGCAUGACAUGGGAACCUGCCGACCCAACCGAGGCACGGAAACCUCUCGAGCCAGCUAAAGCGUGGAAGCCCGACAAGCCAGCUCAGGUACCCCCGGUUCAAUCGGCGGCGGCACCCAGGCCCGACGUCACCACCAAAAACCAAAAACAAGAACUCGCUGAUGCUUCAAAUAUUGGUGUCAGCAUUCUGUGAGGACCGAUGCUGGAGACGAGAAGCAGGUACAGAGAGUGAACAUUUAAUGGUAAACGGACACAUAACACAAACAAGGAUAGUGUCUGGACAGGGGACUGAAACGGGGAACACAUCUGAGGAAUAGACAGAUAUAGAGGGCGCAAUCAACAACGUGAAGGAGUCCAGGCUGGGGAGACCUACUGGAUGCCUGGUCCGUGGAGGAGGCACGGGAUGAACCAGGCUGGGAAGACCUACUGGAGGCCUGGUCCUUGGAGGAGGCACAGGAUGAACCAAGCUGUGGGGGAGCACUGAAGAUCUGGUUGCUGAUGAGCUGGAUGCUGACGGGAUGGUACUGGGGCUGAAGACGGGAUGUCCUCUUCUUCCAACUCACUGUCAGACUCUGAAUUGACAGAGAUUAUCCUCAUAUUCAUCUUCCAAAGUGGAAGACGCACAUUCCACACUAGCUUCUCAGGCCCUCUGAGCAGAGAUUCAUUUUGCCGUACUGAUUGAUUGUGGUAAGGAGUCACACAUGGAAAGCUAUUUAUUUCUUGUGUCCCUCCCCCAAUUUGCACCUGACUGGGAUAGAGUGUGGGAAAAUUCAGAUUUUCCUAUUCAAAAAAGAAUUAAUUGUUAAAUUUUUCUUUCAGUAAACACUGAAAAUGGGUCCCACAGACCCGAACACCACACAGGAGUUAAUAACUCACAAAUUGUGUUCUGUGUCCUGAUUGACCAUAUGAGACGAAAAAGAAAAACACAAUAGCACAGCUAUCCCCUGGUGGCACAGAGAGAAUGAUCUUGCUGAAGACUGCAGAUCCGAUCCAAAGCAUGUUUCUUUUGCAAUUUUUUUUGUUGUCCGAUUUAGGCUCCGAUAUUAUCGACUAAAAGAUAGUCUUUGUUUCAUCCAGAUAUAUAAAUGCAGUCAGAAAUGCACAAUUUAGACUAACUGUAAAACAUGUAACAAUGUUUAUAAAGAGGAUGAGUGAAGUGAUGGUGAAGAACCCAGUUUCCAGUAUUUCCCUGUGUUAGAUACAGUGGGGCAAAAAAGUAUUUAGUCAGCCACCAAUUGUGUAAGUUCUCCCACUUAAAAAGAU